CAACCUGCCCUGUUGUGGGGGAUAACUGCCCGAAAGGGCGGCUAAUACCGCAUGAGCCACCGGGCCGCAUGGCCCGGGAGGGAAAGGCCGCAAGGCCGCAACAGGAGGGGCCCGCGGCCCAUUAGCUAGAUGGCGGGGUGACGGCCCACCAUGGCGACGAUGGGUAGCCGGCCUGAGAGGGUGGUCGGCCACACUGGGACUGAGAGACGGCCCAGACUCCUACGGGAGGCAGCAGUAGGGAAUUUUGCGCAAUGGGGGAAACCCUGACGCAGCGACGCCGCGUGUGCGAAGACGGCCUUCAGGUUGUAAAGCACUGUCGGCCGGGACGAAGUCCCGGGUGAGGAACCCGGGGUGACGGUACCGGCGGAGGAAGCCCCGGCUAACUACGUGCCAGCAGCCGCGGUAAUACGUAGGGGGCGAGCGUUGUCCGGAAUUACUGGGCGUAAAGGGCGUCUAGGUGGCCUGUCGCGUGCCGGGUCAAAGGCCGCAGCUCAACUGCGGGGAGGCCUGGCAAACGGGCAGGCUUGAGGGCAGGAGAGGGGAACGGAACUCCCGGUGUAGCGGUGAAAUGCGUAGAGAUCGGGAAGAACACCAGUGGCGAAGGCGGUUCCCUGGCCUGGCCCUGACGCUGACGCGCGAAAGCGUGGGGAGCAAACGGGAUUAGAUACCCCGGUAGUCCACGCCGUAAACGAUGGGUACUAGGUGUGGGAGGUAUCGACCCCUUCCGUGCCGGAGCUAACGCACUAAGUACCCCGCCUGGGGAGUACGGCCGCAAGGCUGAAACUCAAAGGAAUUGACGGGGGCCCGCACAAGCAGUGGAGCAUGUGGUUUAAUUCGACGCAACGCGAAGAACCUUACCCGGGCUUGACAUCCCCUGACCGCCCCAGAGAUGGGGCUUCCCUUCGGGGCAGGGAGACAGGUGCUGCAUGGUUGUCGUCAGCUCGUGUCGUGAGAUGUUGGGUUAAGUCCCGCAACGAGCGCAACCCCUAUUCCGUGUUACCAGCGGGUAAAGCCGGGGACUCACGGGAGACUGCCGGUGACAAACCGGAGGAAGGUGGGGACGACGUCAAAUCAUCAUGGCCCUUAUGUCCGGGGCUACACACGUGCUACAAUGGCCGGUACAACGGGCUGCCAGCCGGCGACGGCAAGCCAAUCCCUGAAAGCCGGUCCCAGUUCGGAUUGCAGGCUGCAACUCGCCUGCAUGAAGCCGGAAUUGCUAGUAAUCGCGGAUCAGAACGCCGCGGUGAAUACGUUCCCGGGCCUUGUACACACCGCCCGUCACACCACGAAAGUCGCCAACACCCGAAGC
rnacentral:rRNA from 1 species